CCUACGGGAGGCAGCAGUGAGGAAUAUUGGUCAAUGGGCGCGAGCCUGAACCAGCCAAGUAGCGUGAAGGAUGACUGCCCUACGGGUUGUAAACUUCUUUUAUAAAGGAAUAAAGUGAGGGACGUGUGCCUUUUUGUAUGUACUUUAUGAAUAAGCAUCGGCUAACUCCGUGCCAGCAGCCGCGGUAAUACGGAGGAUCCGAGCGUUAUCCGGAUUUAUUGGGUUUAAAGGGAGCGUAGAUGGGUUGUUAAGUCAGUUGUGAAAGUUUGCGGCUCAACCGUAAAAUGGCAAUUGAUACUGGCAGUCUUGAGUGCAGUAGAGGUAGGCGGAAUGCGUGGUGUAGCGGUGAAAUGCUUAGAUAUCACGAAGAACCCCGAUUGCGAAGGCAGCUUACCAGACUGUGACUGACACUGAUGCACGAAAGUGUGGGUAUCAAACAGGAUUAGAUACCCGUGUAGUC
rnacentral:rRNA from 1 species